rnacentral:lncRNA from 1 species
UUUUUUGUAUUUUUUAGUAGAGACGGGGUUUCACCGGGUUAGCCAGGAUGGUCUCGAUCUCCUGACCUCGUGAUCCGCCCAUCUCGGCCUCCCAGAGUGCUGGGAUUACAGGCGUGAGCCACCGCGCCCGGCCGAAAGCAUUGCCUUCUUAACCCAAUCUGAUCCACGGAAAACUCUAAGGGUAGCCUGAACACUCGCAGUGCUUUGGGGAUGGUUUGGAGGGCAGGUGGUAGUGGGAGAUGUUACAAAUGAGGAAGUGACACAAAACUGAGGCAGGAGGCACUGAAACAGACUCUGCCUCCCGCCCCAUCCCAGACAGGAAGCAGAGUCCCACAGACCGCUCCUCCUCACCCUCUACCUCCCUGUGCUCAUGCACUAGGCCCCGGGAAGCCUGUACAUCUCAACAACUUUCGCCUUGAAUGUCCUUAGAACCGCCUUCCCCUACUUCAUCUGUUGACACAGCUUUUAUACUCACCUGUGGAAGAGUCAGCUACUCACCCGCUAUUAGAGUAUGGAGGAAGGGGUUUUCAUUGCAUUGCAUUUCUGAAACAUUCCUAAGACCCUUUAGUUGACCUUCAAAUAUUCAAGCUAUUCUGCAGCUCCAAGAUGCAAUUAUAGAAACAGCUCCUUUUUUAUUUUAUGUCCUCUAUAUGCCAGGUGCUUCACCUGUUAUUUCACUUAAUCCUCAUACCAUAUUUGCAAAGGAUGUGUUAUUAUCUAUGUGUGACAAAUGAGGAAACUGAGGCUCAGGGGAUAAAGGGACUUGCCCAAGUCCCACAGCUGGUGUGUGACUGCAGAGACUGUGCUCUUCCCAGUGUGCUGCAAUACUUCUCAACCCUCCUCUAACCUGCUGUGUCACCCGCUUUCCCUCCCAGCCCCCACAUCCUUACCAUUUUCCCUCCCUGGGAAUUCCUGCUUCUGCGAAAAUGGUAUCCUCUAGCUCACACUUUCCUAAUGGCCCCAUCUCCUGCAGAAGCCAGGUGAGCCCAGCACUGGACUGAAGUUCUUGCAGACACCCCACCUGUGCCCCUAUCAUCAGGGGAACUGCUCCACCUGAGAGGACCAACUCUUUAAUUUUUAGUAAAACCUGGAGGUGAUGGGCCGGGCGCAGUGGCUCACGCCUGUAAUCCCAACACCUUAGGAGUCCGAGGUGGGUGGAUCACGAGGUCAGGAGAUCCAGCCCAUCCUGGCCAACAUGGUGAAACCCCAUCUCUACUAAAAAUACAAAAAUUAGCCGGGCGUGGUGACACGUGCCUGUAGUCCCAGCUACUCGGGAGGCUGAGGCAGGAGAAUCACUUGAACCUGGGAGGCGGAGGUUGCAGUGAGCUAAGAUCACGCCACUGCACUCCAGCCUGCGGACAGACCAAGACUUCAUCCCCCCCAAAAAAAAAAGAUUGGAGGUGAUUUACAGUGAAAGACACAAAUAAAAUACAACUGUUCAAUGGAAAUAGAAAAUAAACACCAUAAAAGAGAGAAGAGAGGUAAUUUGUUAGCAUCAAGAGUCAAGUUGCUAUAUGGUCAAAGGUUAAAUUUAUCUCUAAAAAAUGGCAGGAUUCAAAGUUGUACAUACAUGUGAUUACUUCUGUUUUUUACACCCACAUACAGUACAAAAGAUUAUUAAAAAUAUUCCCAAAAGGCAGGUGCAAUGAUGCACACUUAUACCCCCAGCCACUCAGGAGGCUGAUGCAAGAGGAUCGCUUGAGCCCAGGAGUUGAAGUCCAGCCUAAGCAACAUAGUGAAACCCCAUCGCCAAAAAUAUAAUAAUAAUUCUCUCAAAAUACUAAACAGAGGUGGUUUUAUUGAUAAGAUUUUGGCUGUUUGGUUUUCCACUAUUCUCUAUUGGCUAAAAUUUGUUUAAUGAGCAUGAAAUGUUUUUAUUUUAUUUUGCUUAUUUUUAUGAUUGCAAAAAAUGAUAUGAGUUUCUCCCUGCCAAGGCAAAAAAAUAUAUAUAUACCUAUA